rnacentral:rRNA from 1 species
AUUGAACGCUGGCGGCAGGCCUAACACAUGCAAGUCGAACGGUAGCACAGAGAGCUUGCUCUCGGGUGACGAGUGGCGGACGGGUGAGUAACGUCUGGGAAACUGCCCGAUGGAGGGGGAUAACUACUGGAAACGGUAGCUAAUACCGCAUAACGUCGCAAGACCAAAGUGGGGGACCUUCGGGCCUCACACCAUCGGAUGUGCCCAGAUGGGAUUAGCUAGUAGGUGGGGUAAUGGCUCACCUAGGCGACGAUCCCUAGCUGGUCUGAGGGGAGGACCAGCGACACUGGAACGGAGGCACGGUCCAGACUCCUACGGGAGGCAGCAGUGGGGGAUAUUGCACAAUGGGCGCAAGCCUGAUGCAGCCAUGCCGCGUGUAUGAAGAAGGCCUUCGGGUUGUAAAGUACUUUCAGCGGGGAGGAAGGCAGUGAAGUUAAUAACUUCACCGAUUGACGUUACCCGCAGAAGAAGCACCGGCUAACUCCGUGCCAGCAGCCGCAGUAA